CCGUGGACCUGCCUUNUGGUUCGGGUUAACGUNUGGAAACGGNCGNUAACACCGGAUGUGCCUUCGGGGAAAGUUUNCGCCNUGAGAGGGGCCCGCGUUCCGAUUAGGUAGUUGGUGGGGUAAUGGCCCACCAAGCCGACGAUCGGUUAGCUGGUCUGAGAGGAUGAUCAGCCACACUGGGACUGAGACACGGCCCAGACUCCUACGGGAGNCAGUCAGUGGGGAAUAUAUGGACAAUGGGGGCAAACCCUGAUCCACGAAUNCGCGUGAGNGAUGAAGGCCUUAGGGUUGUAAAGCUCUUNNCACGCCAACGAUGAUGACGGUAGCGUGANAAAAANCCCGGCUAACUUC
rnacentral:rRNA from 1 species